CAGAUCGCUGCGCUGUGGAUAUCGAUGUUCUUGAGCUAAAACAACGCUGAUGCACCUCACUGGCAUGUGCAAUUGCUGUGUUUGUACUAGUUCAAACGUUCCACCAGACAUAAAUUCUUCUGCAUUCCAGUGAGUUACUUGGCUGAGUACGAGUAUCAAAGUUAACGCGUAUAUACCAGCAUCAAGUGUGUCUGGAAGACUGCAGUGCACUCAGCAAUCCUUCCGGCCUUGAAGACUUUAUGAAAGUAUCCCCAUUUCCGUCAAGGGCUGGCGCAAAUAUCCAGCGCAAACUACCACGCCAGACCGUCAGGAUAGCGUUGACACGAGGAGAGACAGCAACGUCAACACAGUGACAUACUCUACGACGCACUUCUCAAAAGGAAAUCCCAGAUCCCGAAAAGGCGUAUGUGCCACAGAAAUCUGGCCCCGAACACGAUUGCCUCAUGUGUCCGCCAUCCACUCUAACGAGUCCUGGAAACAAGUGAAGCAGUCGUUUAUUAGCAGAGCUGCCCCAUUAUCAAUGGAGCGCGCAGAGAAGUGGCUUCCUCCUCUUGCUGGCCAGCCUGACAAGCACAAGACAGACAAAUACGAUUGUUGCGUGCGCCAACUGCGCAACGAUCAUCCGUGCAAGCCACCCUUGCCACGCACGUCAAGCCAUUCGUCACGUCAAAGCUGAUGGAUCGCCCACUCUGUCGCACAGCCGACGGUGGGGGAAGAGAAGCCACUUCACUCGCGCUUGCAAAAGAAGCAAAUGACCUGGAAUGCUGGAAUGCAGAGGCACAGAAAAAAGAACUAAGCGUGUACUUCGAUGCACCUUUGUAGUGCUAAAGUUUAGGGGAAGCAGCGUUUGGACAUACAUUGCACUGCCUCAUGGGUUGAAAUGAAAGGUGCGAGUCAUUGUAUUUGCACAGUUUUGCUCUUUUGCGCAAGCCUA